rnacentral:rRNA from 1 species
AUUGAACGCUGGCGGCAGGCCUAACACAUGCAAGUCGAACGGUAACAGGAAGCAGCUUGCUGCUUCGCUGACGAGUGGCGGACGGGUGAGUAAUGUCUGGGAAGCUGCCUGAUGGAGGGGGAUAACUACUGGAAACGGUAGCUAAUACCGCAUAAUGUCGCAAGACCAAAGAGGGGGACCUUCGGGCCUCUUGCCAUCGGAUGUGCCCAGAUGGGAUUAGCUUGUUGGUGGGGUAACGGCUCACCAAGGCGACGAUCCCUAGCUGGUCUGAGAGGAUGACCAGCCACACUGGAACUGAGACACGGUCCAGACUCCUACGGGAGGCAGCAGUGGGGAAUAUUGCACAAUGGGCGCAAGCCUGAUGCAGCCAUGCCGCGUGUAUGAAGAAGGCCUUCGGGUUGUAAAGUACUUUCAGCGGGGAGGAAGGGAGUAAAGUUAAUACCUUUGCUCAUUGACGUUACCCGCAGAAGAAGCACCGGCUAACUCCGUGCCAGCAGCCGCGGUAAUACGGAGGGUGCAAGCGUUAAUCGGAAUUACUGGGCGUAAAGCGCACGCAGGCGGUUUGUUAAGUCAGAUGUGAAAUCCCCGGGCUCAACCUGGGAACUGCAUCUGAUACUGGCAAGCUUGAGUCUCGUAGAGGGGGGUAGAAUUCCAGGUGUAGCGGUGAAAUGCGUAGAGAUCUGGAGGAAUACCGGUGGCGAAGGCGGCCCCCUGGACGAAGACUGACGCUCAGGUGCGAAAGCGUGGGGAGCAAACAGGAUUAGAUACCCUGGUAGUCCACGCCGUAAACGAUGUCGACUUGGAGGUUGUGCCCUUGAGGCGUGGCUUCCGGAGCUAACGCGUUAAGUCGACCGCCUGGGGAGUACGGCCGCAAGGUUAAAACUCAAAUGAAUUGACGGGGGCCCGCACAAGCGGUGGAGCAUGUGGUUUAAUUCGAUGCAACGCGAAGAACCUUACCUGGUCUUGACAUCCACGGAAGUUUUCAGAGAUGAGAAUGUGCCUUCGGGAACCGUGAGACAGGUGCUGCAUGGCUGUCGUCAGCUCGUGUUGUGAAAUGUUGGGUUAAGUCCCGCAACGAGCGCAACCCUUAUCCUUUGUUGCCAGCGGUCCGGCCGGGAACUCAAAGGAGACUGCCAGUGAUAAACUGGAGGAAGGUGGGGAUGACGUCAAGUCAUCAUGGCCCUUACGACCAGGGCUACACACGUGCUACAAUGGCGCAUACAAAGAGAAGCGACCUCGCGAGAGCAAGCGGACCUCAUAAAGUGCGUCGUAGUCCGGAUUGGAGUCUGCAACUCGACUCCAUGAAGUCGGAAUCGCUAGUAAUCGUGGAUCAGAAUGCCACGGUGAAUACGUUCCCGGGCCUUGUACACACCGCCCGUCACACCAUGGGAGUGGGUUGCAAAAGAAGUAGGUAGCUUAACCUCUCGGGAGGGCGCUUACCACUUUGUGAUUCAUGACUGGGGUGAAGUCGUAACAAGGUA